rnacentral:rRNA from 1 species
UACGUAGGGGGCAAGCGUUGUCCGGAUUUAUUGGGCGUAAAGAGCGUGUAGGCGGCCAGGUAGGUCCGUUGUGAAAACUCGAGGCUCAACCUCGAGACGCCGAUGGAAACCAUCUGGCUAGAGUCCGGAAGAGGAGAGUGGAAUUCCCGGUGUAGCGGUGAAAUGCGCAGAUAUCGGGAAGAACACCCGUGGCGAAGGCGGCCUUCUGGACGGUGACUGACGCUGAGGCGCGAAAGCGUGGGGAGCAAACGGG